rnacentral:snRNA from 1 species
AGAUGUGAGGGUGAUCUCAAUGCAACAUCUGUCACCCCAUGUAUCACCAGGGUUGAUUCAGCUCAUCUGGUUGGCUAGGCAGGUGUCCCCUUCUUUCCUCACCCCUCCCAAAGCUGCACCCUCCCUCAAAGAGGACGGCCACCCCUGAUGGAUGAAGACCAUUUCCUCAGUCAAGGGUAUACGAGUAGCUAUACUCCCUUGCUAGAACUUCCAAAAAGCUCUCAAGAAUAAAUAAGAGAAAUCUAUGUAGCUAAAAAUGACUAAAUGUCCAGCAAAAAAGCU